rnacentral:rRNA from 1 species
UACGAAGGGGACAAGCGUUAUUCGGAAUGAUUGGGUGUAAAGGGCGCGUAGGCGGCAUUGUAAGUUUAUUGUUUAAUUCUUCGGCCUAACCGAAGACAUGCAAUGAAUACUGCAUUGCUUGAGUGUGAGAGAGAAAAUUGGAAUUCUCGAAGUAGCGGUAAAAUGCGUAGAUCUCGAGAGGAACGCCGAUGGCGAAGGCAGAUUUUUGGAGCACAACUGACGCUAAUGCGCGAAGGCGUGGGGAGCAAACAGG